rnacentral:tRNA from 1 species
CUGCCGCUGGUCAACCUGGUCGAGUCCGGCGGCGCCGACCUGCCGACCCAGGCCGAGAUCUUCAUCCCGGGCGGCGGC